AAUAAGCUCAGUUGUGGGUUUCAGUGUCCAACUUUAACCAUCCGUUUUAUUUGAAAUAUUUUUAUGAUUAGUAUUUUUGUUGUUAUUAGAUGAUAAAAUAUGAAAAGUACUUUAUGAGUAACUUAAUUUUCAAAAUUUUCUCAUAAAUUUUUCAAAUAAGACGGAAGGUCAAACGUUGGACACGAAAACUUACAGUUGCACUUAAA
rfam:Oryza rufipogon genomic scaffold, chr04